rfam:Alligator mississippiensis ScZkoYb_33, whole genome shotgun sequence.
AAACUGGUUUUAUUAAAAACCACCAUUUGACUUUGAAUGUUUUUA